GAAUUUUUUCUUUAAAGUUGUUUAACCAACUGGGAGCUCCAAAAGUUUCCUGGUAGGCACUCUUUUGCUUCAUCACUUUAAUGUCAGCUAUCUAUACAGAAAAAAUAUAAACUUUUCCCACUGUGAUUUGCUUAAACUAUGAUCAGUGCCUUCUUAUAUAUCUUUAGGUUGGCCUUAUGCUGAGGGGAAUGGGUUUCACAAAGAACACACCUAUCUAUCUGGCAUCUGGAAAAAUAUAUAAUGCUGAGAAAACCAUGGCCCCACUACUGGAGAUGUUUCCUAAUUUGCAUACUAAGGAGACUCUAGCAUCUGAAGAGGAACUUUCUCUUUUUAAGGUACAGAUUCAUAUUUGACCCUACUCAUUCACUCCGUGAUUUAAUGCUAUGAUUUUGACUUGAGUUACUUCUAGAAUUAUUCUUCCAGGAUGGCUGCCAUAGACUACACUGUUUGUCUUCAUAGUGAGGUUUUUGUCACAACUCAGGGUGGUAACUUCCCUCAUUUUCUACUAGGCCACAGAAGAUACAUCUAUGCUGGACACUCCAAGACAAUUAAGCCUGAUAAGCGGAAGUUGGCAUUACUCUUUGAUAGUCCCAAUAUUGGGUAUGUACUGUGUGACCGUGCAUAUAUUAUUUUCUGUUCGAUACUGCUAUGAAAGUAGUGGAAAACAAAUUUCCCACCGGGGAUUUUUUCCUGUUCAAAAUUUAUAUGAAACUAAUUAAAUUUUGAAGUUUUAUUAUAAACAUUUAUUUUGGGGGACAGAAAAUGAAAUCUCCUGUAUAUAUGUGGAUACUAAGGAACAAUGCCAAUCUGGCCACCAACAAUUAUCUCAUAGAAUAAUAAUCUUACAUGCCAACUGUACCUCUGAACAUUUGAGUUCAACAUGGAAUUGCUAUCCGAGGCCAUCUAAAUUGAGGUCGAGCCAUUUUUACUCUGUUGAGAUUGCAUCACAUAGUAUUCCUCUUAAUACAAUGUGUUAGAUGUUCCCAGUUUUUAAAGUACUAUAUAGAAUUUUAUCGCAUAGGUAGUAAGUAUCUGUUUCCUUUACUUCAAUUACUUCACAGAUGGAAAAGUCUCAAGCGUCAUUUGCUGAGCAUGAGGUCACACAGUGAUUCCAAGGGGGUUGAGCUCAAAAGACCAAAUGACUCAAUAUACAGCUUUCCAUGCCCAGAUUGUAUGUGCCGUGCAAAUAGAACUGACGAUUCAAGACCCUCACCAGCAACUUAAUGUACUGACAGAAUUUGAUGGAUGUUUCUGUUUCUUGUGAUUUUGUGAGCAUGCCUUGCUCUUGACACCUUCCACUGGUAUUUUGAUUAUUUCAUUUACCCCCUUUGCAUCCCGUGGGAUGUCGUAAACCCGGUUUUUAGAGGUUAAGAAGAUUUUGUUGCAGGUCUCAUAAAUCUGAUUAUUUCAUGGGAAUGAAUCAUGAUGCUGAUUGACAGCUGGAAAAAAUGUUAAACUGCAGGAUUCUCUCCCAGAACAUUGACUGAGCUUUCUUUAGUGUAUUGAAUGUUGAAUUAUUAGCUUCUCUGUAUCUAACUCAAAAGACAAACUAAUACUCCUGCUUCACACUCUUCAUGUACAUGACCUGAAAAUGAUCAGUGUAUUAAGACUGUAACAAUAGAUUGUUUUGUGUACAUUAACAAAUUCUGGGUCUUAGCUUUACUAUUUUCUAGUUCUGCUUCCUCUGUAGUUUACAAAUUUUGUACGUUUGCCCUUUAUAUUGUGGGUCUCUUUGUUAAUUUUAUUGUUUUACCUUGGUACCCCAUUGUUUGAGUGAUGAUACCAGUAAAUGUAAUUAAGUCACGAUUCACAACUAGCUAUUGCAAAAAGCUCUAAACAGAUAUUUUCUUUGGAAUGCAUAGUUUUUAGAAUUAUUUGUCGUCUGUUUUCUUUCUCCAUCCUAACGGAAUUUAAGUUCAAUAUAUGUCACCACAUGGGGAUUAAAUUACACUUUACACAGUUUCUGUCAACCCCAAAUGCUUAAGUUUAAGAAUUGGUCAAAAAAGUUAUAUAGUCCAGUGAAUUUUUAGUUAAGUUUAUUUUCUUUUUAUACCAAUUCUAAUAUUUUAGCAAAUGGUGUAUAUUUAGUCCAUAGCAAAAACAAAGGUGAUUCUACCUACAUCAAAGAGCCAUUUAUCAAAAGUCCAUGAUGAUAAAAACACGUUUUUUUAAAAUACUUUUUUUUUUCUCAUGGGCAUUUUCGUUACUUAUUUCUCUUAUUAAAUGUAUUGAAUAUUGGCUAAAAAAAAAGAUAAUGAAAAGACUUUCUUGAGUCAAACAAAAAGGAAGUGGCUAGAGAUCAUCUUGAAGAAAGGAAGAAUUUCUAGUCAAGUAAAAGAAGUGGCUAUAGUGAAACCAUCAUCAAUGCUCUUUUCCUUUGGUCACAUAAUCUUCAAGAGCUUUGGCUAUAAAUAGGAGUGUUUCAAGCCAUUGUAAGACAUACCAAAUAUUUAGCUUAGUGCAUAUUCUCUCUUCUUGUUCUCUUAUUCUAAUUGUGUGAGAAAUACUUGAGUGAGAGUGGAAUUGUGUGUACUUGGGUUUUGGGAAGUGAGUGAAACACUUGUAGUUAUCUUUCAUCAUAGUGGAAUAAUUCUUGUUGCUCUUCAGCUGUUGACGUAGGCAAAUUGUCGAACCACAUUAAAUUUUUGGUGCCAUUUUCUCUAUUAUAUUUUCUCCAUGGGCCUUCAGCUCCAACAAACUGGUAUUAGAGCUCGUAGAGCUCUUGCAUGCUAAGUCGUACGAUCUAAAAGAAAAUUCUUAGUAUGCUUUAUGUUCACAACAUUGUUUGAUCUUACACACCAGAAAAGAAUUGUUCUUGUUACUAGAAAAGUAUAAAAGUGUGAAAGUGCAUGUCUAGGAAAGUUCUGCCUUAAGAAAGAUCUAGUAUUUAAGUGUGUCUCUUAAGACCCACCUCUCUUUCUUGGGAACUUUCCUAGUGUAUGUUCACGGAAUACGAUUAUCAUGGCGAGUGUUAAAUUUUAUUUGGAGAAAUUUAAUGGGAAAAUGUUUUCAAUCUCUGGCGAUUGAAGAUGAAAGCUCUACUAGUUCAUCAAGGCUUGGGCAAAGCCUUGGAAGGUAGAAACAAGUUACUAUAGAGUCUGACCGAGGAUCAUAAGGAUGAAAACUUGGAAAAAGUACAUAGUGCAAUUUUAUUGUGUUUGACAGAUGAAGUUCUACGAGAAGUAUCACAUGAAACUACAGUUGCUUCAUUAUGGUUGAAGUUGGAAAGCCUGUAAAUGACGAAGUCACUCAUCAAUAGGCUGUAUUUGAAGAAAAGAAUAUAUACUCUUCAAAUGUAGGAAGGAAAACCCAUAAAAGAUCAUAUGGAUGAAUUUAACAAAAUUAUUCUUGAUCUAAAGAAUAUUGAUGUUAAAAUUGAAGAUGAAGACCAAACAAUUCUACUAUGUUCCCUUCCAAGUUCUUACGAGCACUUCAUCGACACCAUGAUGUAUUUUUAUCAUGAUACUAACUGGACCUGCCAAAACUGUUCAUGGGCACCUUACCACAAUCUCAACCCAUUUCAUCCUUACCACUUUCCCAUUAAGCCAUACUCCAUUCCUCACUGCCCAAAAGAGCUUUAUGAUCCAGAAAACGAGGUAUCUGAUAAAAUAUGAUCAUAGCUGUUUAGUUUCGCGAUUGAAUUUUUACUUUAUGAUGCUUGGCGAUCUCAUAUCAUGGUUAUAAAUUGGCAAGAGAAAAACUAUUAGGUUUGCUGCAUUACUCUGCAACUUUUGUCUAUUCAAUCAUGCAGGGUUAUUCGAAUUUCACCUUUUGCAAAUAGAUUGUCAUUUGAUGCUCCUCCGGUUGUUCAGCGCCUCAGAUGCUUAGCAAAUUAUGAGGCUUUGCGAUUUUCAAGUCCUAUAUUGACUGUGGGUGAGUCUUUGGUGGCAAGAAUGAGGAAGCGUGGUGCAUUGAAUGGUGGCAAAUAUGUAUCCAUACAUCUUCGUUUUGAAGAGGUUGGUUUUGAUCAGAUAUGAUUGUUCCUUUAAAGCAUGAAUGGUGACAUGACAUAAUAAUCUUUGCAGCAACUGUUACAAUUUGCUUUCCGAUGUGCAGGAUAUGGUUGCUUUCUCUUGUUGUGUUUUUGAUGGAGGAAAACAGGAGAGAGAAGACAUGGCUGCAGCAAGAGAAAGAGGUUGGAAAGGGAAGUUUACAAGACCUGGAAGAGUCAUACGUCCUGGAGCAAUCAGGAUCAAUGGGAAGUGCCCCCUCACUCCACUGGAGGUAUUAUUUACUUAAAUUUUGAGUUAUCUUGCUCUGUUAGAAGAGGAACAAGAUUUAGUGAAAUAUUUGCUUUUUCUUUUUAAAAUUGUUUGACCAACCGAGAGCUCCAAAAGUUUCCUGGAAGGCUCUCUUUUGCUUCAUCACUUUAAUGUCAGCUAUCUAUACAGAAAAAAUAUAAACUUUUCCCACUGUGAUUUGCUUAAACUAUGAUCAGUGCCUUCUUAUAUAUCUUUAGGUUGGCCUUAUGCUGAGGGGAAUGGGUUUCACAAAGAACACACCUAUCUAUCUGGCAUCUGGAAAAAUAUAUAAUGCUGAGAAAACCAUGGCCCCACUACUGGAGAUGUUUCCUAAUUUGCA
rnacentral:lncRNA from 1 species